UGGGGAAUAUUGCGCAAUGGGCGAAAGCCUGACGCAGCGACGCCGCGUGAGGGAUGAAGGUUCUCGGAUCGUAAACCUCUGUCAGAAGGGAAGAAAAACUUGUGGAGUAACUGCCGCAAGCCUGACGGUACCUUCAAAGGAAGCACCGGCUAACUCCGUGCCAGCAGCCGCGGUAAUACGGAGGGUGCAAGCGUUAAUCGGAAUCACUGGGCGUAAAGCGCACGUAGGCGGCUUUGUAAGUCAGCGGUGCAAGCCCUUCGCUCAACGAAGGAAUUGCCGUUGAUACUGCUUAGCUUGAGUUUGUGAGAGGAUAGUGGAAUUCCAGGUGUAGGAGUGAAAUCCGUAGAGAUCUGGAGGAACAUCAGUGGCGAAGGCGACUAUCUGGCACAAUACUGACGCU
rnacentral:rRNA from 1 species